CCUACGGGGGGGCAGCAGUGAGGAAUAUUGGUCAAUGGGCGCGAGCCUGAACCAGCCCAGUAGCGUGAAGGAUGACUGCCCUACGGGUUGUAAACUUCUCUUAUAAAGGAAUAAAGUGAGGCACGUGUGCCUUUUUGUAUGUACUUUAUGAAUAAGGAUCGGCUAACUCCGUGCCAGCAGCCGCGGUAAUACGGAGGGUCCGAGUGUUAUCCGGAUUUAUUGGGUGUAAAGGGCGUGCAGCCGGGAAGACAAGUCAGAUGUGAAAUCCCCCGGCUCAACCGCGGAACUGCAUUUGAAACUGUUUUUCUUGAGUACCGGAGAGGUCAUCGGAAUUCCUGGUGUAGCGGUGAAAUGCGUAGAUAUAAGGAAGAACACCAGUGGCGAAGGCGGAUGACUGGACGGCAACUGACGGUGAGGAGCGAAAGCGUGGGGAGCAAACAGGAUUAGAUACCCUGGUAGUC
rnacentral:rRNA from 1 species